GGGGUACGAUUCAUGUGAUAGGAAGGGAAGAACGCACAGAAACACUGUUUGGAACGCGUCCUUAAUUCAAAGGCAAAGUUGCAAGACUGUUGAAGACCAGUAGUGUUCCAGUAUGUCUGUGCUCAUGUCUCAACAUUGACCUGUGCUGUGCUGAUGAUGUCAUGUCUCUCUUCCCAGGGGACUGUGAGGUGCCGGUCCACUCCUGACCUACAGGAUGCCAUCCUCCUGGUGCUGAUCUACACAGGAGAUCCAACCAGAAGGGGUUUUGAGGCCGACACCCCCAAGACCUCGCAGGACCCCGCCCCCUUCUCUGCCUCCUCCCCCUCUCCACCUCUACCUGUCUCCUGAUGUGAGUUCUGGGCCUGUAUCCACAAAAAAGCGUCUCGGAGGAGUGCUGAUCUAGGAUCAGUUUAGCGUUUUAUUUCAUGAUGAAUAAGAUUGUAUGGACAGAUCCUAGAUCAGCUAUCCUAUCCUGAAGCACAUGGUAGACAUGGGCCCUGGCCUUAGUUCAAUUAUAUCAUGGUUCUAUCCCAACCAAACUAAUUUAGGUCCUUUGAUUGUCUUUGUCCUUGCAGGUAUAGAACCCAUUGCUGAACGUAAGUAUUACACUCCUUGAAUGUGCUGUGAAGUUGUAGUAAAGAACAUAGAGUUUAACUAACUACUGUAGUUCCCCCCUACCUACCUCUCUAUCUCUCUCUCUCUCUCUCUCUUUCCUCUCUCUCUCUCUCUCUCUCUCUCUCUCUCUCUCUGUCUCUCUCUCGCUCUCUCUGUCUCUCUCUCUCUCUGUGUCUCUCUCUGUGUCUCUCUCUCUGUCUCUCUCUCUCUCUCUCUCUCUCCCCUU
rnacentral:lncRNA from 8 species